GCAACACACUAUGUAAGGUGCCACCACAGGAUCGAUAUCUAAUAUUCCCAAAUCCCAAAGGCCAUACAACAGAGCGAAAAGCUAGCUACAAGAAGGUGUCCAGGUUCAAUGCACUUCGAUCGAUCCACAUCGUCCAAAGUUGAGAGACCCAGAUGAUGGCCAGUUUCAAAGCAGGUGAGACCAUCAGAGCUGCUGAGCCUCUGAAAGGGCAUGGGGAUGGAGAUGCUUGGGGUAUAAGUAUCUUUGCAGAAGCGCGAGGAUGAUGGCGACGCGGCGGGAGCUUUUCUUCUUCCUCCUCAUGCGGUAGGAGGAAGAGGAGAGGCCGUCGGCGUCUCGCAUGGAGUUCCCCCAUUCACACUUCUUGGCUGUCUAGUUCCUCGUCGUUCGUUCAGGGCAUCUCGUCUCUUUUGGACAGUCCGUGUGUUUCUUUCGUCAUGUGUUUUGUUUGGACGACCUCCGGAAAUGCAUGCAUGCUUGUGUUUUUCUCGAUGCGAUGAUGAUUGUAAUUGCGGUGUCUAAACUA